UACAGAGGUGGCAAGCGUUGUUCGGAAUUACUGGGCGUAAAGGGCGCGUAGGCGGUUCGACAAGUCCCGCGUGAAAGCCCCCGGCUCAACUGGGGAACGGCGCGGGAAACUGUCGGGCUUGAGUUCGGGAGAGGGAAGCGGAAUUCCGGGUGUAGCGGUGAAAUGCGUAGAUAUCCGGAGGAACACCGGUGGCGAAGGCGGCUUCCUGGACCGACACUGACGCUGAGGCGCGAAAGCUAGGGGAGCAAACGGG
rnacentral:rRNA from 1 species